UACGGAGGGAGCUAGCGUUGUUCGGAAUUACUGGGCGUAAAGCGCGCGUAGGCGGCUACUCAAGUCGGGGGUGAAAGCCCGGGGCUCAACCCCGGAACUGCCCUCGAAACUAGGUAGCUAGAAUCUUGGAGAGGCGAGUGGAAUUCCGAGUGUAGAGGUGAAAUUCGUAGAUAUUCGGAAGAACACCAGUGGCGAAGGCGACUCGCUGGACAAGUAUUGACGCUGAGGUGCGAAAGCGUGGGGAGCAAACAGG
rnacentral:rRNA from 1 species